rnacentral:rRNA from 1 species
AAAAGCUUUACUAUAGUUUAUAUAUUUAUAUUGUAAUAAUUAGUUUUACUGGGGUAGUGACUUUUAAAAGAUUGAGGUUUAGUUAACAUUAAUGUGGGUUUAGUUCUUAUAAAUAAUAAAAAUUGAAUUAGUUACUU